rnacentral:rRNA from 1 species
CCUACGGUGGGCUGCAGUGGGGAAUAUUGGACAAUGGGCGAAAGCCUGAUUCAGCCAUGCCGCGUGUGUGAAGAAGGCCUUCGGGUUGUAAAGCACUUUCAGUGGGGAAGAAAGCCUUGGGGCUAAUACCCUCGAGGAAGGACAUCACCCACAGAAGAAGCACCGGCUAACUCCGUGCCAGCAGCCGCGGUAAUACGGAGGGUGCGAGCGUUAAUCGGAAUUACUGGGCGUAAAGCGCGCGUAGGCGGUCUGAUAAGCCGGUUGUGAAAGCCCCGGGCUCAACCUGGGAACGGCAUCCGGAACUGUCAGGCUAGAGUGCAGGAGAGGAAGGUAGAAUUCCCGGUGUAGCGGUGAAAUGCGUAGAGAUCGGGAGGAAUACCAGUGGCGAAGGCGGCCUUCUGGACUGACACUGACGCUGAGGUGCGAAAGCGUGGGUAGCAAACAGGAUUAGAUACCCUAGUAGUC